CCUCCCCUCUUUGUCCUAUCCUAGAUGGACACAUCUGUCACUUUUAAGUCCCUAUUGCUCAUCUGUCACGGUCCACAACCAAGAAGAGACAAGGGAAGGGGCCAGAUGAAUGUUCUGCCACCAAGAGGAAGACUUUGACAUUUAAAAAAUUCUCCAUCUCUCUCCAAGUGUCCCAUCCCCAACUCAGAAAUAAUAAUAAUGAAAAAUCCAUGAAGAGGACAUUAAUAUGUUGCAGAUGAAGACACUGAGGCUUGGAGAACUUAAAUUGCCCAAAGAGCUUCUCACACCUGACUCUCAAGACCCUUGAAAGCCUGGUCUCCAUCUGCUUCUGCAAUCUCAUCUCCCAGUGGUGCCCUCCUAGAAUCCUCCAUGGCAGUUGCCAUGGACUCCCAGGUUGAAGGUCACAUAACCUUAGCAUGCCCAGAUAAACCAAGUAUGCAACCACACGGGGAACCUAAGUGCUCAGACCAAGGAGCAGGAACUGAAUUAAGACACGGACACCACAUGGCAGAAUCCAAGAUCCAAUCAGAUCGAGCUCUGGAAUCACCCCAUGGUGGAAGCCAGUCAGAUCAUUCCUCUUGGCAUCACCUCAUUGCAAGAUCCAAUCAGAUCACGUCUCAUUACCCUAUCCUUAUAAAACCGGACAGACCUCAGCUCAGGAAGGCACUGCUUUGGGAGCUAUCACCCCUAUUUUCCUUAAUUACUUCAAGUAA
rnacentral:lncRNA from 1 species